GCCACGGCUACCGGCGGAGGAUCAACGUUGUGUCGUGGGCGCGGCGCCGCCGGUAGAGGCGCGAGCACGAGGGAGCAGAACCGGCACUGCAGGUCGUCGACGGUUCAUUUUCGCAAGGUACCAGAGAAGAUACAUGACUUGAAGUUGAUAUUUGGCAUGAUGGCAUCGACACUUGAGUGUCGAGCUUUCUAAUUAUCUUUGAGCAUGGAGGAAGACAAACUGACAAAUACAAGAGCCAGGUGAGCAACAAUGUUUUAGCAGUCCAAUUAUGUAGUAGCCUAUACAAGUUCUAUAGAUCAUCAGAAGGUUAUAAAUUUAAUGCUCUGGCAUGUUACUGCUAAUAGGAAAUGCAUACGGUGAGAUUUACCUUUCCCAACUUCCUUUGCAUCUUCGCAUAUAACUGAAUAUGGAGAAUUUGUUUUUUCAACUUGCAUCAAUUAAAUUUGCAAGUUCAUCGAGUUUUCAAAUUUAUUCGCAAAAGAAAGUUUUCAAAUUGUGGCCAAACAGAGGAUAGGCUUGGGUACCUUUCAUUUCACUGCUGGACAUGAUGCACCUUCCAUUAGAGCAUAUCUACAAAUAAUUUCAGGCUACUGUUUGUGUUUCCCGUUAAUUUCAGGCGCACACGUGAUGGUGCUCACAGGUGCGGUAUUGCAAUGGUUAGCGGCAACAUUUCAUGCCGCGUGCAGAUCAAAAAUUUCCAGCACCUAUCAGUUGGUUCCCUCGAGCCCCAGUGUAGACUAUAUGCUCUGUAAGUGUACAACUUUGGAACAUUGGCGAGAUAAACUAAAAAGGAAGUGCUACUUCUGGAGAUUAAUUGAGAUGGAGUAUGAAGGAAGAGUUCAGGUUGAUCCCUAGAGCUAUGAAGUGUUCUCUUUUAUUUCCUGGUCAGAUUGUUGGAUGUCAGGGUCUACUCUCUAGAGCAAUCAACAGUGUCAUAUGUUCAUGUGUUUCUGCCUUUUUGUUCUCAUCUUCGCUGGUCCGUAACAAAACUCAACUCCUAAUGAUGAGCACUUAAGGUAACCAUUGCCACCAUUGGGGAAUAAAAUAAUGAAGAUCGUAGUGCUUCACAUGCUUUUGAUAUUGAACAUUAAUUAUUUUAAUGUAUGCAUUUCCUAUAAAUUUCCUUAAUGAUCAAUGCUAAAUCUUUCUCUCUGAAGGCCUGCUUAUUAACACCUUUUAAGGAUCAAAAAAUGAGCUCCUGAAUUGGCUUUGUGUGGUAUUGAACUUGUUCGUCUUCAGAUAAGGUGAUCUUUUUAUGAGUGGUAUUAGUAAUUAUUAUUCCUGCAUAGUAACAUCAAGUCUAUAGAGGAGUUUUUUAAUGCUCGUUAGAAGGACUGAUUCGUUGCCAAUUUGGUUUAGCACUAGUGGACAAAAUACAUUAUAUUCAUAUUAGAAAGUAUUUUCCUUGAGUAUAAUUUAAUAUUGUCCACCGUAUAAUAUGUCUUGUACUGGAUUUGGCAGAUAUACAUCUGUACAUGACAUAAACGAUAGCCUCAUGGACUACCCCCUAUGUAUGUAUGUUGUAAUUCCAAUUGAUGAUCUACUAAGGCCUUCUGACCUGCCGAAACUUUCACAUGUACUCCUAAGAAAUGUUCUGAUGUACCUUACCCUUUUCGAUAAGAACUACCAUUCCAGCUGAUGGUGCCAAGGAUCUUUGCUCACUUACCAUUAUUAAUUUAUUAUAAGUACAUAUAAUUGUUAUCAUCACCUGUGUUUCACCGGAUACUCAGUACCACAGUGCUAACCGCGAUAUGCUAGGGAGAUGAGGUUCAUGCUGGAAUUUGCCUCCGAGAGCCAUGAAGAACUCGGUUUAGUUUGGCUCAAGGCCAGUUUCUCUUCUGUUCAAGCAAAGGAUGUCAUGUUGGUCAUGGUUUUUCUUGUGUUGGAUGUGGUCCUUUUGCUCGUUUUGGUUCACACGUUCUUCAGCUAUGCACCGGCCAAUCCCGUACUGAUCUCAAACGGCAGGGGUUGGCUUUUGCACAAGAAAUCAUCAAUUUCCUUGGCUAGACACAAGGUACUUUUUCGUAUAUAUACUUGAGUUUUGUGUUCUAGAUAUAGGUACAAUCGGGUCAGGUGAUACGCUAUAAGAAUAUUGUACCCUACUCCCUCCGUCAGCGAGUAAGUGUACGUUCUCCUUUUUUUUGGAAGUUAAACAUUUUUAAAGUUGACUAGAUUAUUACACAAAAAUAACAACAUAUGUGACAUCAAACUACUGUACUACUGUACUACAUGUCCAGAUGAGCCUAGCCAUAUUAAUUUGGUGCCAUAAAAGCUACUACUUUUUUCUAGAAAGUUAAUAGAGUUUGACUUAAGAUAUGUUCUAACUCACACUUAUUAGUGGACGGAGGGAGUACUGGCUAGAUUAACCAUCCCUUGUACAUAGGUGACAUUCUUGCAAUUUACGCUCAAAUUAAAGAAGUAAUUGAUGUGAAAUUAGAUUUGUGCAAGCAAGAUAGAACUGUUUUUAAUCAGUUGAUAGACUUUUAUAUUGUGGCCAUCGUCCUCAGCGUCAACAAUUAGUCCAAACAAAGAUGCAAGAUUCCAGGUAGGUGACAAGACCCAACUGCUUCUUUCUGAUGGAGAGCUCCUUCGUAUCAGACCUAAGCAGUUCAUCCUUAUUGUCUCUGUAUUUGCGCACAAAUACAUAUGCUUCUCUUAAUUUUCCUGUAUUUUUUUAAAGCAGCGAUUCUGCAGCUAGGUUCAGACCAGCUAUACCCGUAACAAUGGGUGAGGUGUGGCAAUAAAAUUAUCACACAUUGUGUACAUUCAUCUAACUACUUAUUUUCUUAUCACACACACUGAGUAUAUUUCCUAGCAGGGAACCAUUUCCAUUUCACGGCCAGUUCCUAGACAUAAAACGUACUAAUGUGAGUCUGCAACUGGCACUUAACCAUCAUGCUGAGAUCUUGGCUAUUCAACUAGGAACCACUUCCAUCUCUGUACCUUGAUCAUUUCCUUGCAUUUUCUAAUAUAAGCUGCCAGCAACUUUUCCCUUU